rnacentral:lncRNA from 1 species
UCAAAAGAAUGUCUUGAAAUCAAAAGCAAAACAAAACUAACUACUAACUUACUAACCAUUGACUUCUAAUUUUAAGUCUUUACUUUAACGCAAUUUACUUUUAGCACUUUAUCUCAUUUUUUAUUAUACAUAUCAUUCUAAUUGUUUAUGUUAAUGUAAUUUUCACUUUGUCCACUUGGACCAUAUUGUGUGAUAUUAUUUUGUUUGUG